GCAAUUCUGAGGAGUCCCACAAUAGGACGAAACGGCCUUCUAGUAC
rfam:Schistosoma curassoni strain Dakar, Senegal genome assembly, scaffold: SCTD_scaffold0000044